UACGUAGGGAGCAAGCGUUGUCCGGAAUCAUUGGGCGUAAAGCGCGCGUAGGCGGCCUCAUAAGUCCGUUGUGAAAGUCAAAGGCUCAACCUUUGAAAGCCGAUGGAUACUGUGAGGCUAGAGUUCGGAAGAGGCGAGUGGAAUUCCUGGUGUAGCGGUGGAAUGCGUAGAGAUGUGGAGGAACACCGAUGGCGAAGGCAGCCUCCUGGGCCAGCACUGACGCUCAUGCACGAAAGCGUGGGGAGCAAACAGG
rnacentral:rRNA from 1 species